CUGUCUGUGCGGUCUAUCUUAUGCAUGGUGAAUUCUUCUGUUAUUUUAUUCUUUAUUAUUCUGUUGGAAUAUCCUAUCUGUGCGGAUUACGCAUAACCUGGUUUCAUUCUUUAUUAUUCUGUUGAAAUAAUUUGUCUAUGUGAAUUAUCACAUGCAUGGUGAAUGAUCCUUCGUAUUCAUUCCUUAUUAAAUUGUGGAAAUGAUCUGUCUACGUGGAUUACCGUAUGGCGGGUGAAAAUCUAUUUACAGUUUCAUAUAUUCUAUGAUACUCAUUUGGUUAAAGUUUUGGCUACUAUACUCCAUGAAAUUAGUAGAAUAUCCUGGAUAUUUGCGUUUCAUCCG
rnacentral:lncRNA from 1 species